rnacentral:misc_RNA from 1 species
GAUGAAGAACUUAGCGAAAUGCGAUACGUAAUGUGAAUUGCAGAAUUCAGUGAAUCAUCGAGUCUUUGAACGCACAUUGCGCCCCCUGGUAUUCCGGGGGGCAUGCCUGUCCGAGCGUCAUUGCUGCCCUCAAGCACGGCUUGUGUGUUGGGCCUCCGUCCUCCUCCCGGGGGACGGGCCCGAAAGGCAGCGGCGGCACCGCGUCCGGUCCUCGAGCGUAUGGGGCUUCGUCACCCGCUCUUGUAGGCCCGGCCGGCGCUUGCCGACACAUCAAUCUCUUUCUCCAGGUUGACCUCGGAUCAGGUAGGGAUACCCGCUGAACUUAAGCAUAUCAAUAAGCGGAGGA